GCGUCGGUAGUUCAGUGGUAGAAUUCUCGCCUUCCACGCAGGAGACCCAGGUUCAAUCCUCAGCCAACGCA
rnacentral:tRNA from 1 species